GAUGAACGCUGGCGGCGUGCCUAAUACAUGCAAGUCGAGCGAACAGACGAGGAGCUUGCUCCUCUGACGUUAGCGGCGGACGGGUGAGUAACACGUGGAUAACCUACCUAUAAGACUGGGAUAACUUCGGGAAACCGGAGCUAAUACCGGAUAAUAUAUUGAACCGCAUGGUUCAAUAGUGAAAGACGGUUUUGCUGUCACUUAUAGAUGGAUCCGCGCCGCAUUAGCUAGUUGGUAAGGUAACGGCUUACCAAGGCAACGAUGCGUAGCCGACCUGAGAGGGGGAUCGGCCACACUGGAACUGAGACACGGUCCAGACUCCUAAGGGAGGCAGCAGUAGGGAAUCGUCGGCAAUGGGCGAAAGCCUGACGGAGCAACGCCGCGUGAGUGAUGAAGGUCUUCGGAUCGUAAAACUCUGUUAUUAGGGAAGAACAAAUGUGUAAGUAACUAUGCACGUCUUGACGGUACCUAAUCAGAAAGCCACGGCUAACUACGUG
rnacentral:rRNA from 1 species